rnacentral:rRNA from 1 species
AUUGAACGCUGGCGGCAGGCUUAACACAUGCAAGUCGAGCGGGGUGAUGGUGCUUGCACUAUCACUUAGCGGCGGACGGGUGAGUAAUGCUUAGGAAUCUGCCUAUUAGUGGGGGACAACAUCUCGAAAGGGAUGCUAAUACCGCAUACGUCCUACGGGAGAAAGCAGGGGAUCACUUGUGACCUUGCGCUAAUAGAUGAGCCUAAGUCGGAUUAGCUAGUUGGUGGGGUAAAGGCCAACCAAGGCGACGAUCUGUAGCGGGUCUGAGAGGAUGAUCCGCCACACUGGGGCUGAGACACGGCCCAGACUCCUACGGGAGGCAGCAGUGGGGAAUAUUGGACAAUGGGGGGAACCCUGAUCCAGCCAUGCCGCGUGUGUGAAGAAGGCCUUAUGGUUGUAAAGCACUUUAAGCGAGGAGGAGGCUCUUUUGGUUAAUACCCAAGAUGAGUGGACGUUACUCGCAGAAUAAGCACCGGCUAACUCUGUGCCAGCAGCCGCCGUAA